rnacentral:rRNA from 1 species
GACUACUCGGGUAUCUAAGCCUGUUUGCUCCCCACGCUUUCGCACCUCAGUGUCAGUAUCGGGCCAGUGAGCCGCCUUCGCCACUGGUGUUCUUGCGAAUAUCUACGAAUUUCACCUCUACACUCGCAGUUCCACUCACCUCUCCCGAACUCGAAGGUCGCCAGUAUCGAAGGCAGUUCCAGAGUUGAGCUCUGGGAUUUCACCCCCGACUUAACGACCCACCUACGUGCGCUUUACGCCCAGUGAUUCCGAGCAACGCUAGCCCCCUUCGUAUUACCGCGGCUGCUGGCACGAAGUUGGCCGGGGCUUUUUCUGCAGGUACCGUCAUUAUCGUCCCUGCUAAAAGAGCUUUACAACCCUAAGGCCUUCAUCACUCACGCGGCAUGGCUGGAUCAGGCUUGCGCCCAUUGUCCAAUAUUCCCCACUGCAGCCGCCCGUAGG